rnacentral:lncRNA from 1 species
GUCCUUUCCAUCCUUUGUAAUCCCCCACAUUCGAGUACCCUGUAGGAGUUCGUAAUUCGCAGCAAAUGCACCAGCAGACCGGUAGGGAUGCUGUCUCCCCAUAGUGCCUGGGUGCAUAGAACUAAGUCCUAUGCAAUUUGUGUGUAUGUUAUGCUUGUAUGAUCUGUGCAGUAUAUAGGAAGUACAUUUGAAUCUAGAGCUAACUCUUAGUCUUCUUCCCUAGCUUAGUUAUCUUGAGAUGAUUCUUCUCUGUGUGUCACACUACCCUUCUAUCAUUAUCCUUACCCCUGUCUUGUGUAGAGCAUCUACUCAUCUUAUGAUAUACUUAUAUGCAUAGUAAACUCUUUUGAUCUACCCGCCUUCCUUUGGGAAAUACGAUACCCUUGGGAAUACACUUGGGUGAAAUGCUACAAUGGUAUAUCCGUGCGCUUGCGGAUUCAUU